GUUGUCUACAUAUGAGCUAAUAAAUAUUUACUAUUGUAUCUAUAGUUUUUCUUUUAUUAAACCGUGAUUAUUGAGACACUCUGUAUAAGUCACUCGACUUGUUUACCGUCGACCCGAUCCCCCGCGUCACCGCGCCACACCGUCACCGCGCCGCACCGUCUACGCCCUCUACCGGGGGGGCCUACGACGGUCGGAGCGCGCGACAUCUAGCAGCGACGGGCGGAACCGGGGCAAAACAGGACGCUACACAAGCUGGGUGGGGGGCGGAGCGCACUCUGGUAGCCAGGGGGGACACUAGGUCGCCACGCGCGGGGGGCCCCCGCUGCGGGGGGGUUAGGAAAUUGAGGUUAUGUACGGUUUUUGUUGCUUAUAUCGGCACUGUAAUCUACUAACAUUAUUUUAAAUAGUACAAGAACAAUAAACUGCCAUUAUUCCGAAGUUCCAUCGACCUUGAUAUCUGCGUUCCAUUUCUUUAAUAUCUUGGUGAGACCUUCGACGGCAGCAAGAUUUUCGGGAUAGUAGUGCAGAUGUGCAGAAAAACUGGUGGUAAUUUCUUCUAAAUUGGUUGGAUUCACAGGUAUUAGGACAUCUGGAUUAUGUGGCACUGGCCUAGUCAGCAAGGUGAUUUGUUGGGUUUCUCCAUAUCAUAGAUCCAAAAUGUAGGAAUCGUCUGGUUCCAUUAUUCCAAUUAUUCCAACACAUUUUUCCCAUACCUUACAAACAAUACGUAGGGUCCAAGGUAUGUCUUGACAGGAGUCAAAUUUUAUGUCUACAUUUCUUGAACACAAAAGAACCACAGCAAAACGUAUCUGGAAUAUUUUUUGUCUUGUCUUGUCUUGGUAUUUUGAAAAGAAAUUUAACUGCACACUAACUCACUACAAGAAACGCACUUUCUUCAAGACAUGCCGCCACUACCCGACGCAUCCCAGAAACCAUAGUUUACUUUCGGGCAUUCCCCGCAAAUGUUCUGUUAAUAAUGCCAGUAGCAUAGCAAUUUUUAGAAUGUUAUGUAAUGUUCCUAUUUUAAAACGAUAAAUAUGACAUCUAGUUAAUUAAAAAUGUUGCGUGGUAGAAAUAAAAAAAA